rnacentral:sRNA from 1 species
UUCCCAUAGAAGUACUCUGGAGUUUAUUUUUCCGAGUUUCUAUGGAUUUUUUAUGUUCUUAUCAUCAUUUGUGAAUUAUCACGUAUUACGUGUAAGAAGUUUUUAGGAGGAUUCAUAUCAUGCAAAACGGUACAGUAAAAUGGUUUAACGCGGAAAAAGGUUACGGCUUCAUCCAAGUAGAAGGUGGAAAUGAUGUAUUCGUACACUUCUCUGCAAUUCAAGAAGAAGGUUUCAAAUCUCUAGAAGAAGGUCAAACCGUUUCUUUCGAAAUUGUUGAAGGCGACCGCGGACCACAAGCAGCUAAUGUUGAAAAACAAUAAAUAAAAUCCAAAGCAGCCUCUAUAGAGGCUGCUUUUUUU